AGCCUUUGGAGAGGAUUAAAGGUUAUACCUGCCCAAUGUUGUAUUAAUGGCCGCGGUACUUUGACCGUGCUAAGGUAGCACAAUCAAUUGGCCCUUAAUUAGGGUCAGGUAUGAAUGGAGUUACGGGGCUUAGCUGUCUCUAGACUAUUUAAUUGAAGUUGCUAUAUAGGUGAAAAAGCCUGUAUUAAGAAAAAAGACGAGAAGACCCUUAGAGUUUUACUUAAAAAAGAGUUAUUUCUUCACUAGUUUUGUUGGGGCAACAUAGGAGAAGAACCAAACCUCCUAAAAGGUAUAAACCGAUGUUUUUAAAUAUGAAUAAACUACCUUAGGGAUAACAGCAUAAUUUUAAAAAUAAGUUUGUGACCUCGAUGUUGGACUAGGAAACUUAAGGGCUAGCCGCCUUUUGGUAAGGUUCUGUUCGAACUAUAAUUCCU
rnacentral:rRNA from 1 species